AUCUAUAACUUGCAGUGGUGUCGUGUGAGGUGAAUGUAACGCUUGAUCAGAGUGGAAUUUAGAAAGAAAAUCGGUGAAAAAUAGAAAAGGAAAAAAAGAAGAAGAAGAAGAGGUUACCAAAAUGCCUUGUUCUGCGGUGACGCUGUCCCUCGCGACCAUAACCGGUAUCAUUGCCACUGGCCUCUUGGCAAUCGCCUUUUCUACAGACAACUGGCUCUACACCGAGGUUAAACGCGCCCAAAUCCAGCAAUAUGCAGCCAAGCAUGCUGAACAGAACCAUUUAGUGGAGCAAAUGAAUACAAAAUACUAUUACUAUACAAGAACACAGGGUCUCUUCAGGAUAUGCUAUCCCAAAGAAAGACCACCGACUGUUCAAACCUAUCUAAGUCCUGUGGAGACACAUUGUAUGAACAUUAAUUACUUCAUCCCCGAUGAAGAAAAUUUAACGAGAGGCUUCUCCGAUGACGCAAUGACUCGACUUCACAUGGGCAGAUCUGUGAUAGCUCUGUUUAUAGUGGGAUUUGUUGCAAUUUUUACGGCAUUCUGGACGGGAGUGGUAGGCUGUUGGAAGAGGUCACCAGGAAAUAUCACAGCCACUGCAAUCUUGAUGUUGCUAGCAUGCCUAUUAAGCGCUAGCGCAAUGGGUCUUUGGCACGGAGUGGAGUAUUACGAGAAAGAGAAAAUCGUCGGAGAAGAGUAUUAUCAACAAUGGAACAACGUUCUGAAGGACAACUCACUAAUCUCGUACGACUGGUCGUACGUGGUCGCUUGGGUCGGCGUCGGUUGGUCGUUGGUCAGCGCGAUCUUGUUUAGUGCCGCGGCGAUUUGCUUGAGGGGCGAGAGAAUGCGCGAGGAGGCGAUGAACAUGCAGUACCUCAUGCCUGGUACAUAUUUAACACCUUUUGCUUUUGCCGAACGAACGCGAUUGGCUCGUGUGGAUUCCUCUUGAGGUCAAGGAGGUAGAGCUGGGUCAAGGCAUGAUUUUUUAGUUUAGUUAGUGAAAUUUUAACUUGAAGCUUUGGAGAUAUAUUUUAAGUUAUGCAUAUGUGAAGUUACGAUAUUUUAUGGAUUACGUAUAUCCUCAAAAGCAACAAUACGCUUAUGCUGGUUAUCCGGCACCGGCGGCGUAUCCAGGACCUUAUUAUCACGGAUCGCAGUAUGGACCCUACAACUACUGAAGAAGAUCUGUAUCAUCUCUAUUAAUGAAAAGAGUCUAGAGCGCGAAGUAUUCUGAAACGUGCUCGUAAUGAAUAAAACAUUAAAUAUCUGGCAAACGAUGAUUCCCGAAGGGAAUGUUAAAAAAAAAGAAAAAAGAAAAAAAUGAAACGAACAAAAAACGAGGACUCCUGGAGGUCGAUCGUAAAUCCCAAAUCGUACCUGCACGAAGGAAGAAAAAGAAAAAGCAGAGAAGAAGGACGACCUUGGGUCCCACCCUAGAUAUAAUUUAUCACUUACUUUAAACGCCACGUUACGGACGUUCUGGUGCAUAUAUACCCGUCUGGGUCCCACGAUCUUCCAUCUCUUUCAGUUUUCUCUUUCAGCAGGUGUCUGUUUUGGUAUGUGAUCGCUCGUAUGGGAUUCGCGAAAAAGACAGUUGCUCAAAAACAGUCCGCGUACUUAGAACUGAGAUGAUUAUAUAUAAUAUUAUUUUUUUCUUUCUAAAAUCUAAUAUUUGUACUACAUUAUUCUUUGUACGUGCUGAUCGCGCUAGGACAAUAAUAAUGAUAAUAGUAAUAAUAAUUACAUUUUGAGCGUGGGAGAGAUAUAUUUGAUUAUAUAUUUAAUUGGCUAUAUGAUCUUUCUCAGGGGAAUGAGAAACGAUUUAUCGUUCGACAUUUAAUCAUAUAAUUAAUAACAAUAUCUCGAUGUCGAAUUUUUGAAAGUACUACAUGACUUUAAAGGUUAACCGUCAAUUCUUAAAGUGCCUUACUUUCAGUUAUCUUUUUUUUUUUAUUGUAAAUUAUAUUUUUAAAUAAUCUAUAUUUGAAUUUUAAUAAAAAAAUUUGUAAAUUAUUAUAAACAGAAUAAUUAUGAAUAAAGAGAAAUCGAUAACUAAAAGUAAGAGUUAAUAAAUCGAGGAGAAAAUAUGUCAAAUAUUGAAAUUUUUAUUUAUAUUUUAAGAGAAAUUUCAAUCGUGGUUGUUGUAAAAAAAAUUCGGCAAUAUGGUGCAAGAAAAAUAUUCGUUAAUUAUAUACAGAUCAAUUUAAACGGUAGAAAAUAUAAAAUAAGUGCAUUUUCACAAAUAUCACAUUUCAUAAUAAAAUUCGCAUCAUCGAUUCACUAGACUUUCUAACAUAUAUAUAUAGAUCUUUUUUUUCUCAAUAACUAUAUGUAAAAUUUGUUGUUCCGGUAUCUUUACGUAUGGUAUUAAGAAAUAAUAAAAAUAUUCCAAUUACUUUAUAUAUAUUUCUUUAAGUAAAUAAAUUAAAUUAGAUUUAUUCCAAAUACUAUUUUUUACAAUUGUUAUAAUUAUAGUGUGAAACUUAGAUAAAUGAACUAAAAAAAUAAUAGUAUAAGUAUAACUGUUUGUUUAUGUACAUUCGGAAUCGUUUAUUGUUUCUAGAAACAAAUACUAUAAAGAGUUCUAACCCUUUAUGAAUAAAAGGUGCAACGUAUCAUUAAAAGUUGUUUAAUAUAUU